CCUACGGGAGGCAGCAGUGGGGAAUAUUGCACAAUGGGGGGAACCCUGAUGCAGCAACGCCGCGUGGGUGAAGAAGUACUCAGGUAUUUAAAGCCCUGUCAGCAGGGAAGAAAAUGACGGUACCUGACCAAGAAGCCCCAGCUAACUACGUACCAGCAGCCGCGGUAAUACGUAGGGGGCAAGCGUUAGCCGGAUUUACUGGGUGUAAAGGGAGCGUAGACGGCAAGGCAAGUCUGACGUGAAAGCCUGUGGCACAACCACGGGACUGCUUUUGAAACUGGGUUGCUGGAGUGCAGGAGGGGUAAGCGGAAUUCCUGGUGUAGCGGUGAAAUGCGUAGAUAUUAGGAGGAACACCGGUGGCGAAGGCGGCUUACUGGACUGUAACUGACGUUGAGGCUCGAAGGCGUGGGGAGCAAACAGGAUUAGAUACCCGUGUAGUC
rnacentral:rRNA from 1 species